rnacentral:rRNA from 1 species
UACGGGGGGAGCAAGCGUUGUUCGGAUUUACUGGGCGUAAAGGGCGCGUAGGCGGCCACCGCAAGUCAGUUGUGAAAUCUCUGGGCUUAACCCAGAAAGGUCAACUGAUACUGCGGGGCUAGAGUGCAGAAGGGGCAACUGGAAUUCUCGGUGUAGCGGUGAAAUGCGUAGAUAUCGAGAGGAACACCUGUGGCGAAGGCGGCUCACUGGUCCGGUACUGACGCUGAGGUGCGAAAGCGUGGGGAGCAAACAGG